rnacentral:rRNA from 1 species
GUAGGGAAUCUUCCGCAAUGGGCGAAAGCCUGACGGAGCGACGCCGCGUGAGGGACGAAGGCCUUCGGGUUGUAAACCUCUGUCUUGGGGGAUGAGGAAGGACAGUACCCCAGGAGGAAGCCCCGGCUAACUACGUGCCAGCAGCCGCGGUAAUACGUAGGGGGCGAGCGUUGUCCGGAAUUACUGGGCGUAAAGGGCGUGUAGGCGGCCUUUUAAGUUAGGCGGUAAAUCCCACGGCUCAACUGUGGGGAUGCGCCUAAUACUGGGAGGCUAGAGGGCAAGAGAGGGGAGCGGAAUUCCCGGUGGAGCGGUGAAAUGCGUAGAUAUCGGGAGGAACACCAGUGGCGAAGGCGGCUCCCUGGAUUGUACCUGACGCUGAGGCGCGAAAGCUAGGGGAGCGAACGGGAUUAGAAACCCUAGUAGUCC